rnacentral:rRNA from 1 species
GACGAACGCUGGCGGCGUGCUUAACACAUGCAAGUCGAACGGAAAGGCCCUGCUUUUGUGGGGUGCUCGAGUGGCGAACGGGUGAGUAACACGUGAGUAACCUGCCCUUGACUUUGGGAUAACUUCAGGAAACUGGGGCUAAUACCGGAUAGGAGCUCCUGCUGCAUGGUGGGGGUUGGAAAGUUUCGGCGGUUGGGGAUGGACUCGCGGCUUAUCAGCUUGUUGGUGGGGUAGUGGCUUACCAAGGCUUUGACGGGUAGCCGGCCUGAGAGGGUGACCGGCCACAUUGGGACUGAGAUACGGCCCAGACUCCUACGGGAGGCAGCAGUGGGGAAUAUUGCACAAUGGGCGGAAGCCUGAUGCAGCAACGCCGCGUGCGGGAUGACGGCCUUCGGGUUGUAAACCGCUUUCGCCUGUGACGAAGCGUGAGUGACGGUAAUGGGUAAAGAAGCACCGGCUAACUACGUGCCAGCAGCCGCGGUGAUACGUAGGGUGCGAGCGUUGUCCGGAUUUAUUGGGCGUAAAGGGCUCGUAGGUGGUUGAUCGCGUCGGAAGUGUAAUCUUGGGGCUUAACCCUGAGCGUGCUUUCGAUACGGGUUGACUUGAGGAAGGUAGGGGAGAAUGGAAUUCCUGGUGGAGCGGUGGAAUGCGCAGAUAUCAGGGGGAACACCAGUGGCGAAGGCGGUUCUCUGGGCCUUUCCUGACGCUGAGGAGCGAAAGCGUGGGGAGCGAACAGGCUUAGAUACCCUGGUAGUCCACGCUGUAAACGGUGGGUACUAGGUGUGGGGUCCAUUCCACGGGUUCCGUGCCGUAGCUAACGCUUUAAGUACCCCGCCUGGGGAGUACGGCCGCAAGGCUAAAACUCAAAGGAAUUGACGGGGCCCCGCACAAGCGGCGGAGCAUGCGGAUUAAUUCGAUGCAACGCGUAGAACCUUACCUGGGUUUGACAUGGAUCGGGAGUGCUCAGAGAUGGGUGUGCCUCUUUUGGGGUCGGUUCACAGGUGGUGCAUGGCUGUCGUCAGCUCGUGUCGUGAGAUGUUGGGUUAAGUCCCGCAACGAGCGCAACCCUUGUUCACUGUUGCCAGCACGUUAUGGUGGGGACUCAGUGGAGACCGCCGGGGUCAACUCGGAGGAAGGUGGGGAUGACGUCAAGUCAUCAUGCCCCUUAUGUCCAGGGCUUCACGCAUGCUACAAUGGCUGGUACAGAGAGUGGCGAGCCUGUGAGGGUGAGCGAAUCUCGGAAAGCCGGUCUCAGUUCGGAUUGGGGUCUGCAACUCGACCUCAUGAAGUCGGAGUCGCUAGUAAUGGCAGAUCAGCAACGCUGCGGUGAAUACGUUCCCGGGGCU